GACGAACGCUGGCGGCGUGCCUAAUACAUGCAAGUUGAGCGCUGAAGGUUGGUACUUGUACCAACUGGAUGAGCAGCGAACGGGUGAGUAACGCGUGGGGAAUCUGCCUUUGAGCGGGGGACAACAUUUGGAAACGAAUGCUAAUACCGCAUAAAAACUUUAAACACAAGUUUUAAGUUUGAAAGAUGCAAUUGCAUCACUCAAAGAUGAUCCCGCGUUGUAUUAGCUAGUUGGUGAGGUAAAGGCUCACCAAGGCGAUGAUACAUAGCCGACCUGAGAGGGUGAUCGGCCACAUUGGGAAUGAGACACGGCCCAACCGCCUACGGGAGGCAGCAGUAGGGAAUCUUCGGCAAUGGACGAAAGUCUGACCGAGCAACGCCGCGUGAGUGAAGAAGGUUUUCGGAUCGUAAAACUCUGUUGGUAGAGAAGAACGUUGGUGGGAGUGGAAAGCUCAUCAAGUGACGGUAACUACCCAGAAAGGGACGGCUAACUACGUG
rnacentral:rRNA from 1 species